rnacentral:rRNA from 1 species
UACGUAGGGGGCAAGCGUUGUCCGGAAUUACUGGGCGUAAAGGAGCUCGUAGGCGGUUUGUCGCGUCGUCCGUGAAAACUUGGGGCUCAACCCCAAGCUUGCGGGCGAUACGGGCAGACUUGAGUACUGCAGGGGAGACUGGAAUUCCUGGUGUAGCGGUGAAAUGCGCAGAUAUCAGGAGGAACACCGGUGGCGAAGGCGGGUCUCUGGGCAGUAACUGACGCUGAGGAGCGAAAGCGUGGGUAGCGAACAGGA